AAAGGUGGUGCAUGGUUGUCCUCAGCUCGUGUCGUGAGAUGUUGGGUUAAGUCCCGCAACGAGCGCAACCCUCGUUCUAUGUUGCCAGCACGUAAUGGUGGGAACUCAUGGGAUACUGCCGGGGUCAACUCGGAGGAAGGUGGGGAUGACGUCAAAUCAUCAUGCCCCUUAUGUCUUGGGCUUCACGCAUGCUACAAUGGCCGGUACAAAGGGCUGCAAUACCGUGAGGUGGAGCAAAUCCCAAAAAGCCGGUCCCAGUUCGGAUUGAGGUCUGCAACUCGACCUCAUGAAGUCGGAGUCGCUAGUAAUCGCAGAU
rnacentral:rRNA from 1 species